UACGUAGGGCGCAAGCGUUGUCCGGAAUUAUUGGGCGUAAAGAGCUCGUAGGCGGUUUGUCGCGUCUGCUGUGAAAACCUAAGGCUCAACCUUGGGCUUGCAGUGGGUACGGGCAGACUAGAGUGUGGUAGGGGUGACUGGAAUUCCUGGUGUAGCGGUGGAAUGCGCAGAUAUCAGGAGGAACACCGAUGGCGAAGGCAGGUCACUGGGCCGCAACUGACGCUGGAGGAGCGAAAGCGUGGGGAGCAAACAGG
rnacentral:rRNA from 1 species